UACGGGGGGAGCAAGCGUUGUUCGGAUUUACUGGGCGUAAAGGGCGCGUAGGCGGCCACCGCAAGUCGACUGUGAAAUCUCCGGGCUUAACCCGGAAAGGUCAGCCGAUACUGCGGGGCUAGAGUGCAGAAGGGGCAACUGGAAUUCCUGGUGUAGCGGUGAAAUGCGCAGAUAUCAGGAGGAACACCGGUGGCGAAGGCGCCACUCUGGGCCAAACUGACGCUGAGGAGCGAAAGCGUGGGUAGCAAACAGG
rnacentral:rRNA from 1 species